GACGAACGCUGGCGGCGUGCUUAACACAUGCAAGUCGAACGGUAAGGCCCUUCGGGGUACACGAGUGGCGAACGGGUGAGUAACACGUGGGUGACCUGCCCUGCACUUUGGGAUAAGCCUGGGAAACUGGGUCUAACACCGGAUAGGACCACUGCCUGCAUGGGUGGUGGUGGAAAGCUUUUGCGGUGUGGGAUGGGCCCGCGGCCUAUCAGCUUGUUGGUGGGGUGAUGGCCUACCAAGGCGACGACGGGUAGCCGGCCUGAGAGGGGUGACCGGCCACACUGGGACUGAGAUACGGCCCAGACUCCUACGGGAGGCAGCAGUGGGGAAUAUUGCACAAUGGGCGCAAGCCUGAUGCAGCGACGCCGCGUGAGGGAUGACGGCCUUCGGGUUGUAAACCUCUUUCAGCACCGACGAAGCGCAAGUGACGGUAGGUGCAGAAGAAGGACCGGCCAACUACGUGCCAGCAGCCGCCGUAA
rnacentral:rRNA from 1 species